CCUUAAGAUGUCGAAGUUGUUAGAGUGUUCACACAGAUUGCCUUGAUUCAAAGUAGUUAGAGCAAAGACCUGAUGCGCAAGCGUCAGUGCUUAUUCAACUUCGGUUGAAUGAGAGAAGCCCGUUCGUUGGGUUGGGAUGUGAAUAGCGGCGCAAGUUGCUACCCAAUUCAAAGUUAGCGAUAACAACGAACAGCGCUAAAGGCCGCUAGCCUCGCAGGCUCGGCGUCGCCUUUACGAAAAUCAUUGCGAAGUGACCUUCGCAAAACAUGAUUUUCGUCCCCUUCGUCUAGAGGCCUAGGACACCGCCCUUUCACGGCGGUAACAGGGGUUCGAAUCCCCUAGGGGACGCCACUUCUCUUCUUGCUAACAAGAAUGCAGAGUUAAGAACGAAAUUCUUAACUCUGUUUUCUUCAGCCUUGUGCUGUUCGAAACAUGCUCUUUAACAAUCUGGAAAGCUGAUUUAAAAAGUAGUUCUCAAACAUUUGUUACAAGUGCUUUGGAAACUUCUUGGCGAAAACCAAAUUUUAUUUGGUCCUUGUUGUACGACAACAAGCCGUGCCGGUUUCACCGACACUUCUUGGGGUUGUAU
rnacentral:tRNA from 1 species